CCAAAUGGUAUGUUAAAGCCCACUCAAGCCUGGGAGAACUUUCCCUGGGAUCUGUGUGGGCUUCUGUUAUGCAACCAAUGAGAAGAGUCAUCCCAUUAUCUGUCUGCCAACUGGAAAAGCUACAGAAAAUUGAUAUAAAAGGGAGGUUUGCAGAAGACCAUUGGGAUUAGCUUGAAGAAUGUUGCAGCAAAUUUUAAUUUUUUUGAAUUCCUCCUGCAAACACAUAUUAUUGUUGUACCAAACUAAAUACUUUUCAUACUACAAUCUAUAACAAAAGUGAAUAGUACUUUAAUUGACUACUUUGAACUAAGAUGGUUUGAGCUGCUGUGGCUUUCUCUGGACAGUUUCUCUCAUCAUGAAUACAACUGAUGGCAGGUGAGGUGUUGACAAUUCCUCAUGGAUGUUGGCUUAAUAUUGCAUGUCCCCUUCUUUCUUUUCUCGAGAAAAGGCAGAAAAACAAGAUUGAGUCUCAUGAAAACUUGAAAAAAAGGCAAUUCUAAUGGCACUCAUUCUAACAGCCAGUCAUCACAGGCCCGCUGCCCUCUUCCUGGUGCAGGUCCACACACAUCCCAUGCCUGCUCCUUGUGGAGCUGUCCUGGCUGGGAACAUCUCCAAAGCAGCAAGUCACCUCACACGCAAUUCUCUUCUCCUGCAAGCCAGUCAGAGGCAGUGCAGAGAUGAUGGCUGCUCACCACAGCACCACCAGAUAACCUGACUUGCAGCAGUAGGACAAAGAACAUGGCUGCCGCUUCAAAUCUUGUGUGAAUUCACCUCAUCACUGGAACCAAAUUUAUAUCUAAUAAAAAGUUUGAUAAUAGCAAGAUAGAGG
rnacentral:lncRNA from 1 species